CGGGGGGGGCAAGCGUUGUUCGGAAUUACUGGGCGUAAAGGGCUCGUAGGCGGCCAACUAAGUCACACGUGAAAUCCCUCGGCUCAACCGGGGAACUGCGUGUGAGACUGGAUGGCUUGAGUUUGGGAGAGGAAUGCGGAAUUCCAGGUGUAGCGGUGAAAUGCGUAGAUAUCUGGAGGAACACCGGUGGCGAAGGCGGCAUUCUGGACCAACACUGACGCUGAGGAGCGAAAGCCAGGGGAGCAAACGGGAUUAGAUACCCCGGUAGUCCUGGCUCUAAACGAUGAACACUUGGUGUGGCGGGUAUCGAUCCCUGCCGUGCCGAAGCUAACGCAUUAAGUGUUCCGCCUGGGGAGUACGGUCGCAAGGCUG
rnacentral:rRNA from 1 species